rnacentral:rRNA from 1 species
GUGGGGAAUCUUGCGCAAUGGGCGAAAGCCUGACGCAGCCAUGCCGCGUGAAUGAUGAAGGUCUUAGGAUUGUAAAAUUCUUUCACCGGGGACGAUAAUGACGGUACCCGGAGAAGAAGCUCCGGCUAACUUCGUGCCAGCAGCCGCGGUAAUACGAAGGGGGCUAGCGUUGCUCGGAAUUACUGGGCGUAAAGGGCGCGUAGGCGGACAGUUUAGUCAGAGGUGAAAGCCCAGGGCUCAACCUUGGAAUUGCCUUUGAUACUGACUGUCUUGAGUACGGGAGAGGUGAGUGGAACUCCGAGUGUAGAGGUGAAAUUCGUAGAUAUUCGGAAGAACACCAGUGGCGAAGGCGACUCACUGGCCCGUUACUGACGCUGAGGCGCGAAAGCGUGGGGAGCAAACAGGAUUAGAAACCCCAGUAGUCC